UACGGGGGGGGCAAGCGUUGUUCGGAGUUACUGGGCGUAAAGAGUGCGUAGGCGGUUUUCUAAGUUUGGUGUGAAAUCUCCCGGCUCAACUGGGAGGGUGCGCCGAAGACUGGAAGGCUUGAGUAUGGGAGAGGUAAGCGGAAUUCCUGGUGUAGCGGUGAAAUGUGUAGAUAUCAGGAGGAACACCUGCGGUGUAGACGGCUUACUGGACCAUAACUGACGCUGAGGCACGAAAGCGUGGGUAGCAAACAGG
rnacentral:rRNA from 1 species